AGUGGUGGCUUGUAGGAGGAACUCGAGCACUUAGGCACGACGCAUCAGAGCAAUUAGGUUACUCACGGCGGCGCCGGUGGCGCUCCGGUGGGUGGCGGCCGGUGGCCGCCAUGCCACGGUUUAAUUUUAAUUAGUGCUCCUGAUUUUGGUCUUUGCUUAGAGUCUGAAUUUCGAAUUCGAAACAUGCAACCAUUCAUGAAGUGGUACAUAAUGUAUCCAUAGGUGAACCAUUGCAAACAUAUGCUGAAAAGAUGUUGUUUCAUCAAGAGUUGCAACUUUGUGAAACAACACAUGUAUGACCUAUAAAUACAUUGUUCAAUAUUCGAAAAUCAGAUCAUCAAAUUUGUGCAUCCUCUUCUUAUAAGACACAUUUCUCUACAUUUGAAUAUUCAUUAGUCUUGUGCAGAUUCGAUUACGAGACUGGAUUAUCAUGUGUAUUCUUGGCGUUCAACUCUAAGACAAUAAAGAAAAUACUUCAAAUACUUUUAAGGAAACUGACAUCAAUCACGAUUCAGACCUGUAUCCAUUCAACUAUACUGAAAUAUCUAAUAUCUAUAACAAUGAUUAAAAACGUAGUCAUUAGGCAUAAGAUGAAUCAUGUUGAUAUAUAAUUCUUUUAAGUGCUAUUAAAUCCCACUGUUAUGGUUUGGAUAUCUACAAUUACUCGUUUAGCUCUAUAACCCACUGUUAUGGUUUGGAUAUCUACGAUCACUCGUUUAGCUCUAUAAAAAGUCUCUUUAACAAUGGUUCAUAUAAAAGGGUUAUUGUAGCUUGAUUUUGCGCUACAACACACGGUUUAUGAAUAAAUUUUAUUAACGUGUUUUUAAACCCUCUUAUAAACUACAGAAGGAAAAAAGUAUUGCGCAUUUGAUAUGUUAGAACUUUGAUAUAGUGUUUUUUUUAUAAAUUAAAUCAUCUUAUGGUAU
rnacentral:lncRNA from 1 species